rnacentral:rRNA from 1 species
UACGUAGGCAGCGAGCGUUGUUCGGAAUUACUGGGCGUAAAGAGUGUGUAGGCGGUGCUCUAAGUUCGGUGUGAAAUCUCCUGGCUCAACUGGGAGGGUGCGCCGGAAACUGGAGUGCUUUGAGCGUGGGAGAGGAAAGCGGAAUUCCUGGUGUAGCGGUGAAAAUGCGCAGAUAUCAGGGAAAGAACACCAAUGGGCGAAAAGCAGCUUUCUGGGACGGUACUGACGCUGAGGCGCGAAAGCGUGGGGAGCAAACAGG